rnacentral:rRNA from 1 species
UACGUAGGCAGCAAGCGUUGUUCGGAGUUACUGGGCGUAAAGGGUGUGUAGGCGGUCCUCUAAGUUUGGUGUGAAAUCUCCCGGCUCAACUGGGAGGGUGCGCCGAAAACUGGGGGGCUAGAGUACUGGAUGGGAGAGUGGAAUUCCUGGUGUAGCGGUGAAAUGCGUAGAUAUCAGGAGGAACACCUGUGGUGUAGACGGCUCUCUGGACAGUAACUGACGCUGAGACACGAAAGCGUGGGUAGCAAAC